rnacentral:rRNA from 1 species
AUACGUAGGGUGCAAGCGUUAAUCGGAAUUACUGGGCGUAAAGCGUGCGCAGGCGGUUAUGUAAGACAGAUGUGAAAUCCCCGGGCUCAACCUGGGAACUGCAUUUGUGACUGCAUAGCUAGAGUACGGUAGAGGGGGAUGGAAUUCCGCGUGUAGCAGUGAAAUGCGUAGAUAUGCGGAGGAACACCGAUGGCGAAGGCAAUCCCCUGGACCUGUACUGACGCUCAUGCACGAAAGCGUGGGGAGCAAACAGGAUUAGAUACCCUGGUAGUCCACGCCCUAAACGAUGUCAACUGGUUGUUGGGUCUUCACUGACUCAGUAACGAAGCUAACGCGUGAAGUUGACCGCCUGGGGAGUACGGCCGCAAGGUUGAAACUCAAAUGAAUUGACGGGG